rnacentral:rRNA from 1 species
AAACAUCGCCUCUUGACAAAACAUAAGAGGUCCAGCCUGCCCAGUGACAAAGUUCAACGGCCGCGGUACCCUAACCGUGCGAAGGUAGCAUAAUCACUUGUUCUUUAAAUGAGGACUCGUAUCAACGGCACUACGAGGGCUAUACUGUCUCCUUUUUCUAAUCAGUGAAACUGAUCUCCCCGUGAAGAAGCGGGGAUCAAAAUAUAAGACGAGAAGACCCCAUGGAGCUUUAAACUCACUAUACACCUCUGUGCCUUUAUGUCACUAGACACAAGAGAUCUGCGUACUAGUUUUAGGUUGGGGGGACCACGGAGUAUAAUUUAACCUCCAUAACAAAUGGGCUAACACCCUUAUCUACGAGACACAACUCUAAGAAUUACUAAACUAAUGCUUAUGACCCGAUAUUCGAUCAAUGAACCAAGUUACCCUGGGGAUAACAGCGCAAUCUACUUCAAGAGCCCAUAUCGACAAGUGGGUUUACGACCUCGAUGUUGGAUCAGGGUAUCCCGGUGGUGCAGCCGCUACCGACGGUUCGUUUGUUCAACGAUUAAAACCCUACGUG